rnacentral:rRNA from 1 species
UACGUAGGGUGCGAGCGUUGUCCGGAAUUAUUGGGCGUAAAGAGCUUGUAGGCGGUUUGUCGCGUCUGCCGUGAAAAUUCGAGGCUCAACCUCGAACUUGCGGUGGGUACGGGCAGACUAGAGUGUGGUAGGGGAGACUGGAAUUCCUGGUGUAGCGGUGAAAUGCGCAGAUAUCAGGAAGAACACCCGUGGCGAAGGCGGCUCACUGGACCACAACUGACGCUGAGGCGCGAAAGCUAGGGGAGCAAACAGG